UCCCUGAGGGUCCGGAGGCUAAGACUCUGUGCUCCCAAUGCAGGGGCCUGGGUUCAAUCCCUAGUCGGGGAA
rnacentral:tRNA from 1 species